GAAUUCCUUACAGCAAUAAACUUGACUCUGAAAUCUUAAAUUCUG
rnacentral:other from 1 species